UAACGCGUGGGUAACCUGCCCUUUUGUGGGGGAACAACUUCGAGAAAUCGGAGCUAAUACCGCAUAAUAAUAGAGGAUCGCAUGAUUCUUUAAGGAAAGAUGGCCUCUGAAGAUGCUAUCGCAAAAGGAUGGACCCGCGUCUGAUUAGCUAGUUGGAAGGGUAACGGCCUACCAAGGCAACGAUCAGUAGCCGGCCUGAGAGGGUGAACGGCCACAUUGGGACUGAGACACGGCCCAAACUCCUACGGAAGGCAGCAG
rnacentral:rRNA from 1 species